AGGACUAUCUUGGUGACGUUGG
rnacentral:siRNA from 1 species